rnacentral:rRNA from 1 species
UGAGGAAUAUUGGUCAAUGGCCGAGAGGCUGAACCAGCCAAGUCGCGUGAGGGAAGACGGCCCUACGGGUUGUAAACCUCUUUUGUCAGGGAGCAAAGACGCCUCGUGAGGCGCGAUGAGAGUACCUGAAGAAAAAGCAUCGGCUAACUCCGUGCCAGCAGCCGCGGUAAUACGGAGGAUGCGAGCGUUAUCCGGAUUUAUUGGGUUUAAAGGGUGCGUAGGCGGGCUGUCAAGUCAGCGGUAAAAUGUCGGGGCCCAACCCCGGCCGGCCGUUGAAACUGGUGGUCUUGAGUAGGCGAGAGGUAUGCGGAAUGCGUGGUGUAGCGGUGAAAUGCAUAGAUAUCACGCAGAACUCCGAUUGCGAAGGCAGCAUACCGGUGCCCAACUGACGCUGAGGCACGAAAGCGUGGGUAUCGAACAGG